AAUUUUUAUGGAGAGUUUGAUCCUGGCUCAGGAUGAACGCUGGCGGCGUGCCUAGUACAU
rnacentral:rRNA from 1 species